GACGAACGCUGGCGGUAUGCUUAACACAUGCAAGUCGAACGAGAAGUCUUUUAUUGAACCUUCGGGGGAUAUAAGAGACAGACAGUGGCGAACGGGUGAGUAACGCGUGGGCAACCUACCUAUCGGAGCGGGAUAGCCUCGAGAAAUCGGGAGUAAAACCGCAUAACACGGAUAUAUCGCAUGAUGAAUCCGUCAAAACUCCGGUGCCGAUAGAUGGGCCCGCGUCUGAUUAAGCUAGUUUGGUAAAGGUAAAGGGGCUUACCAAGGCAAACGAUCCAGUAAGCCCGGGUCUGAGAGGGGCGAAACGGGCCCACCACUGGAAACUGAGACCACGGUCCCAGACUCCUUACGGGAGGCCAGCCAGUGGGGA
rnacentral:rRNA from 1 species